AACCUAGCACACCUGCGGUGUGUACCUGCGGAGGGAUCAUUAUCUAGAGUAUUGUAGGCUUUGUCCUGCUGUCUCUUACCCAUGUUUUUUGAGUACUUACGUUUCCUCGGCGGGUUCGCCCGCCGGCUGGACAAUUUAAACCCAUUGCAGUUGCAAUCAGCGUCUGAAAAACUUUAAUAGUUACAACUUUUAACAACGGAUCU
rnacentral:misc_RNA from 1 species